GUGGUCGGGGCUCAGGCUUCUGCCGCUUUAGCAUCAGCCUGGCCGAUUAAGUGAUAAUUAUUAAAGAUUUAAAUGGGAACAUAAAUUGUUUUUAUUUCUAUGAAAAAUUAUCAAUAUGCCUUCAAUUCUGGUUCUUAUGUGCAUACAAGAUGCUUUUAUUUCGAAAGACGGGGAAUACAAAUAAAUACAAGAAAGAAAGAAACCACUGGCCUCAAAAGAUCUCUUCCACCCCAAUAUCUUACUAUCUUGGAGUCCAUUUCAUUUAGAGAGAUCCUCAUUUGAUGAAGAUAUCCCGAAAGCGAAAGCAGGGGCGCAAGCGCCACCGCCUUUGCACCAACCAGGGCGUUUCGUGUGGGUCGACAAGAGGAGGGGACAAGGCGCGCUGGAAAUUUAGCGCAUGUUUGGAGGAUUCGUCGCUUUUUCGUUGCAUUUCUGAAUCCAUAUAAAGAAACUCCAGCCACAAUUUAAGUCACUUAACAAGAAAAACUCUAUCAAAAAUCUGUGAAACAUUUCUACAGUUCGAAGUUCCAAGCUUGUAACAUUUGUUUUAGAUAAUGUUCGGAGUUGUGCCGUUUUCGAAAAUUCUAGCCAUUGCGGUACUGACCAUCCUUUGUUCAGCCCUACUGUGUGAAGGAAGGGCCCAACAGUUUUAUCCUAAUGGACGUUAUGGGAGGAGAAGUGUUUUACCACCCCUUGCAGAUUCCACGCAAGAUUUCAGAGUGGCGCUGUCCGGAGAUGAUUCCAUGAUUUGCAAGUUCACAGGUUACGCUGAUUACUACAAAUGUUUGAGCAGGAAAGACAGUUCAUCUUCGGAGCAGAUUCUUAACUGACAGGAUAAGCCGAACAGUUAACAUUUAGUUUAGAAACUCUUGACCCUAACUCCAUUUCUGUAUCUACUGGAGGAAAUUUAAAAAAAAAAAUGAUUAAUAAAAGGUUACCAAUGUAUAUGUGAAAUGUAUUUUAUUUUAUAUAAUAAUAUAAAUAUAAGUAUUUCGUUAUGCACGCUUUAAUAAAUACUG